rnacentral:rRNA from 1 species
GGGUUGUGAGGUUAAGCGACUAAGCGUACACGGUGGAUGCCCUGGCAGUCAGAGGCGAUGAAGGGCGUGCUAAUCUGCGAUAAGCGCCGGUAAGGUGAUAUGAACCGUUAUAACCGGCGAUACCCGAAUGGGGAAACCCAGUGUGACUCGUCACACUAUCAUUAACUGAAUCCAUAGGUUAAUGAGGCGAACCGGGGGAACUGAAACAUCUAAGUACCCCGAGGAAAAGAAAUCAACCGAGAUUCCCCCAGUAGCGGCGAGCGAACGGGGAGGAGCCCAGAGCCUGAAUCAGCAUGUGUGUUAGUGGAAGCGUCUGGAAAGGCGCGCGAUACAGGGUGACAGCCCCGUACACAAAAGCGCAUGUGCUGUGAGCUCGAUGAGUAGGGCGGGACACGUGGUAUCCUGUCUGAAUAUGGGGGGACCAUCCUCCAAGGCUAAAUACUCCUGACUGACCGAUAGUGAACCAGUACCGUGAGGGAAAGGCGAAAAGAACCCCGGCGAGGGGAGUGAAAAAGAACCUGAAACCGUGUACGUACAAGCAGUGGGAGCCCCACCACUAAGCCAGUGGUGAACUCCACAUACGCAUCCUUUGCUGAGGAUACGGUUAACGGAGCGAAAGCGACGUUCAACCGCAAAAGAAGCAGAGGGGGCUUAGUGGUGGGGU